rnacentral:tRNA from 1 species
GUCCCUGUAGCUUACAACCCAAAGCAUGGCUCUGAAGCUGCCAAGACGGAUAGACAUCUUCCCGGGGACA